GACGAACGCUGGCGGCGUGCUUAACACAUGCAAGUCGAACGGAAAGGCCCCUUUGGUGGUACUCGAGUGGCGGACGGGUGAGUAACACGUGAGUAACCUGCCCUUGACUUCGGUAUAACUUCAGGAAACUGGGGCGAAUACAGGAUAGGAAUCCUUGCUGCAUGGUGGGGGGUGGAAAGCUUCGGCUGUUGUGGAUGGACUCGCGGCGUAUCAGCUUGUUGGUGGGGUAGUGGCUUACCCAGGCUUUGACGGGUAGCCGGCCUGAGAGGGCGACCGGCCAAAGUGGGAAUGAGAUACGGCCCAGACUCCUACGGGAGGCAGCAGUGGGGAAUAUUGGAAAAUGGGCGGGAGCCUGAUGCAGCAACGCCGCGUGCGGGAUGAAGGCCUUCGGGUUGUAAAACGCUUUCAGCAGGGGACAAGCUUGUGGUGACGGUACCUGCAGAAGAAGCACCGGCUAACUACGUG
rnacentral:rRNA from 1 species